rnacentral:lncRNA from 1 species
UCUGUAACUUCUUUAAUAUUUAUUGCAUCUUCUGUUUUCUUUACCUUUUGUUGAAUUUUUAUCUUUAUCUCGUUGACUUGGUCUAUUUCUCUAUCAAUUGCGGUUUGAUGUGAACCCCACUUUGUGUCCAGUUCAUCUGUCAAAGUUUUUGUACAUUGUUCAACCUCAUCCUUUACAGACUUUUCAUGAGUUGUGAUUUCUUUUUUAACUUUACCAAAUUCAAGUUUAUCCUCUUCUUUCAUUUUAAGCAGUUUUUGAAUAUCAUUUGUUAAAGUUUCUUCUUGUUCUUUCAAUGUAGUGGCAUGUUUUCUUAAAUUUUCUUUUCUGAUUGAAUAUCCACUGCUAAUUUCUUCAAAAACAUGUGACUUAUGUGUUUUUGUAACACAUUGCAUACAUAUAAGUUUAUCACAUGAUUUGCAGUACAAACAGCAGAUUUCCUUUGAAUGGUCGGUACAUUUUAUAUCACCAAAAUGCAUCUCUUCUUCAAAACUACUGACUAAAAUUUCUUUAUUUCCGACAUCUUUGAUGUUGACAAUUCUAUGCUCACUGGCUAACUUAACAAACUUAGGAUGAAUAUUUUCCUUACAUUUUUGACACAUAAGUAAAUCACAAUCCAAGCACUUC